CACGUAUGGGGCAAGCGUUGUUCGGAAUCACUGGGCGUAAAGGGCGUGUAGGCGGUUUUGCAAGCCUGGCGUGAAAGGCUUCGGCUCAACCGGAGGAUUGCGCUGGGAACUGCGAGACUUGAGUUCUGGAGGGGGAGCUGGAAUUCCUGGUGUAGGGGUGAAAUCUGUAGAGAUCAGGAAGAACACCGGUGGCGAAGGCGAGCUCCUGGACAGAAACUGACGCUGAGGCGCGAAAGCGUGGGGAGCGAACAGGAUUAGAUACCCUGGUAGUCCACGCUGUAAACGAUGUGCACUAGGUGUUGGGGCGAUUGAUGCUCCGGUGCCGUAGCUAACGCGAUAAGUGCACCGCCUGGGGAGUAUGCUCGCAAGGGUGAA
rnacentral:rRNA from 1 species